rnacentral:tRNA from 1 species
GCUAUCGUAGUGUAGUGGACUGCAUGCUUGACUUGUAACCGAGAGGUCCGUGGUUCGAUUCCCGUCGGAGGCG